CUGCCAGACUCCUACGGGAGGCAGCAGUGGGGAAUAUUGCACAAUGGGGGAAACCCUGAUGCAGCGACGCCGCGUGAGUGAGGAAGUAUUUCGGUAUGUAAAGCUCUACCAGCAGGGAAGAAAAUGACGGUACCUGACUAAGAAGCCCCGGCUAACUACGUGCCAGCAGCCGCGGUAAUACGUAGGGGGCAAGCGUUAUCCGGAUUUACUGGGUGUAAAGGGAGCGUAGACGGUAGAGCAAGUCUGAAGUGAAAGCCCGCGGCUCAACUGCGGGACUGCUUUGGAAACUGUGCAGCUAGAGUGCAGGAGAGGCAGGCGGAAUUCCUAGUGUAGCGGUGAAAUGCGUAGAUAUUAGGAGGAACACCGGUGGCGAAGGCGGCCUGCUGGACUGUGACUGACGUUGAGGCUCGAAAGCGUAGGGAGCAAACAGGAUUAGAUACCCUAGUAC
rnacentral:rRNA from 1 species